rnacentral:tRNA from 1 species
UGCAUCUUAGUGUAUAGUGCACUUAAAGUUUUGAUCUUUAAAGAUAUGGUUUGAUUCCAUAGGUUUGA